rnacentral:rRNA from 1 species
CCUACGGGUGGCAGCAGUGGGGAAUAUUGCACAAUGGGGGGAACCCUGAUGCAGCGACGCCGCGUGAGUGAAGAAGGAUUUCGGUAUGUAAAGCUCUAUCAGCAGGGAAGAAAAUGACGGUACCUGACUAAGAAGCCCCGGCUAACUACGUGCCAGCAGCCGCGGUAAUACGUAGGGGGCAAGCGUUAUCCGGAUUUACUGGGUGUAAAGGGGGCGCAGACGGCUGUGCAAGUCUGGAGUGAAAGGCGGGGGCCCAACCCCCGGACUGCUCUGGAAACUGUAAAGCUGGAGUGCAGGAGAGGUAAGCGGAAUUCCUAGUGUAGCGGUGAAAUGCGUAGAUAUUAGGAGGAACACCAGUGGCGAAGGUGGCUUACUGGACUGCAACUGACGUUGAGGCUCGAAAGCGUGGGGAGCAAACAGGAUUAGAUACCCGGGUAGUC